GCGACCCCAGGAUGAGCGAGGCCACCCGCG
rnacentral:rRNA from 1 species